rnacentral:piRNA from 1 species
GAAAAAGAGGAAAAAGGGAGAA